CGAACGGUGAUGAGGAGCUUGCUCUUUUGAUCAGUGGCGAACGGGUGAGUAACACGUGAGCAAUCUGCCCUUGACUCUGGGAUAAGCGUUGGAAACGACGUCUAAUACCGGAUACGACCUUGGAAGGCAUCUUCUGGGGUGGAAAGAAUUUUGGUCAAGGAUGAGCUCGCGGCCUAUCAGCUAGUUGGUGAGGUAAUGGCUCACCAAGGCGACGACGGGUAGCCGGCCUGAGAGGGUGACCGGCCACACUGGGACUGAGACACGGCCCAGACUCCUACGGGAGGCAGCAGUGGGGAAUAUUGCACAAUGGGCGAAAGCCUGAUGCAGCAACGCCGCGUGAGGGACGACGGCCUUCGGGUUGUAAACCUCUUUUAGUAGGGAAGAAGCGUUAAAGUGACGGUACCUGCAGAAAAAGCACCGGCUAACUACGUGCCAGCAGCCGCGGUAAUACGUAGGGUGCAAGCGUUGUCCGGAAUUAUUGGGCGUAAAGAGCUCGUAGGCGGUUUGUCGCGUCUGCUGUGAAAACCCGAGGCUCAACCUCGGGCCUGCAGUGGGUACGGGCAGACUAGAGUGCGGUAGGGGAGAUUGGAAUUCCUGGUGUAGCGGUGGAAUGCGCAGAUAUCAGGAGGAACACCAAUGGCGAAGGCAGAUCUCUGGGCCGUAACUGACGCUGAGGAGCGAAAGCAUGGGGAGCGAACAGGAUUAGAUACCCUGGUAGUCCAUGCCGUAAACGUUGGGAACUAGAUGUGGGGACCAUUCCACGGUCUCCGUGUCGCAGCUAACGCAUUAAG
rnacentral:rRNA from 1 species